CCGGCUAACUUCGUGCCAGCAGCCGCGGUAAUACGAAGGGUGCAAGCGUUACUCGGAAUUACUGGGCGUAAAGCGUGCGUAGGCGGUGGUUUAAGUCUGAUGUGAAAUCCCCGGGCUCAACCUGGGAAUGGCAUUGGAUACUGGAUCGCUAGAGUACGGUAGAGGGUGGUGGAAUUCCCGGUGUAGCAGUGAAAUGCGUAGAGAUCGGGAGGAACAUCUGUGGCGAAGGCGGCCACCUGGACCAGUACUGACGCUGAGGCACGAAAGCGUGGGGAGCAAACAGGAUUAGAUACCCUGGUAGUCCACGCCCUAAACGAUGCGAACUGGAUGUUGGGGGGAACUUGCCCUUCAGUAUCGAAGCUAACGCGUUAAGUUCGCCGCCUGGGGAGUACGGUCGCAAGACUGAAACUCAAAGGAAUUGACGGGGGCCCGCACAAGCGGUGGAGUAUGUGGUUUAAUUCGAUGCAACGCGAAGAACCUUACCUGGCCUUGACAUCCACGGAACCCCUGAGAGAUUGGGGGGUGCCUUCGGGAACCGUGAGACAGGUGCUGCA
rnacentral:rRNA from 1 species